GGUCAAGCUAUAAAGAGCAAAGGGAGAAUGCCUUGGCGCCAGGAGCCGACGAAGGACGUGGCAAGCUGCGAAAAGCUGCGGGGAAUUGCACACAAGUAUCGAUCCGCAGAUGUCCGAAUGGGGAAACCCGGCAGAGCAAACCUCUGUCAGCGUAUGCUGAAUAAAUAGGUAUACGUGGGGAAACGCUGUGAACUGAAACAUCUAAGUAGCAGCAGGAAGAGAAAAUAACAAUGAUUCCGGGAGUAGCGGCGAGCGAAACCGGAAAAGGCCAAACUCAAGAACUUCGGUUCUUGGGGGUUGCGGACUGCAUAAUUGAUUGCAAGUUGAUAGUAGAACGGUUUUGGGAAAGCCGGCCAAAGAGGGUGAAAGCCCCGUAAACGAAAUUGACGAGCACAUGGCAGAAUCCAGAGUAAGGCGGGACACGAGAAACCCUGCCUGAAGCCGGGGGGACCACCCCCCAAGCCUAAAUACUACCUGGCGACCGAUAGAGAAUAGUACUGUGAAGGAAAGGUGAAAAGAACCCCGGGAGGGGAGUGAAAGAGAACCUGAAACCCUUUGUUUACACACAGCGGAAGCGAGAGCAACCGCGUACUUUUUGUAGAACGGUCCGGCGAGUUACUGUUAAUAGCGAGGUUAAGUGGUCAGAAGCCACGCAGCCGAAGGGAAACCAAGUCUGAAAAGGGCGUCUAGUUAUUAAAAGUAGACCCGAAACCGGGUGACCUAUCCAUGUCCAGGUUGAAGUUACCGUAAAAGGUAAUGGAGGACCGAACACACAUCUGUUGAAAAAGGUGGUGAUGAGGUGUGGAUAGCGGAGAAAUUCCAAUCGAACCCGGAGAUAGCUGGUUCUCCUCGAAAUAGCUUUAGGGCUAGCCUCGGGAGGAGUCUGGUGGAGGUAAAGCACUGAACUGGCAAGGGGCCCCAAAAGGUUACCGACCCAAAUCAAACUAAGAAUGCCACUAAGAUACCCCCGGGAGUCAGACUAUGUGAGAUAAGUUUCAUGGUCAAAAGGGAAAGAGCCCAGACCAACAGCUAAGGCCCCCAAGUACGUGUUAAGUGGAAAAGGAUGUGGGAUUUCACAGACAACCAGGAUGUUGGCUUAGAAGCAGCCAUACAUUUAAAGAGUGCGUAACAGCUCACUGGUCGAGAGAACCUGCGCCGAAAAUGUCCGGGGCUAAAACACGUCGCCGAAGCUAUGGCUCUGCACCAAAAGGUGCAGAAGGUAGAGGAGCAUCCUGUGAGGACGAAGCCGAAUUGAAAGAGACGGUGGACGAAACAGGAGAGAGAAUGCCGGAAUGAGUAGCGAGAUAAAUGUGAGAAACAUUUAGGCCGAAUGCCUAAGGUUUCCAGGGUAAAGCUAAUCUACCCUGGGUAAGUCGGGUCCUAAGGCGAGGACGAGAGUCGUAGUCGAUGGAUAACAGGUAGAAAUUCCUGUACUGCGUAUAAACAGAACUGUAGGGACGCAGGAGGAUAAGCGAACCGGGGAAAGGGAAUACCCGGGUAAGGUCAAAGUCAAGAUAGGCAGGCAAAUCCGUCUAUUGAUGAUGAAGGCUGAUACGGACUGAAUAUUAGUAGGGAAGUCGCCGAAUCCACACUGCCAAGAAAAGCUGCUAUUGUUUUAUACGUACCCGUACCGUAAACCGACACAGGUGGGCGAGGAGAAAAUCCACAGGCCGGCGGGAGAAGUGUUGUUAAGGAACUCGGCAAAAUGACCCCGUAACUUAGGGAGAAGGGGAUCCAUUGUUGAAUGGACACAGAGAAGAGGCCCAAGCGACUGUUUAUCAAAAACACAGGUUUCUGCUAAACCGUAAGGUGAAGUAUAGGAGCUGACGCCUGCCCGGUGCUGGAAGGUCAAAGGGAGAGGUUAGGAGUUUACUCCGAAGCUUUGAACUCAAGCCCCAGUAAACGGCGGCCGUAACUAUAACGGUCCUAAGGUAGCGAAAUUCCUUGUCAGGUAAGUUCUGACCCGCACGAAAGGCGUAACGAUUUGGGCGCUGUCUCGACAACACACCCGGUGAAAUUGAAAAGCCAGUGAAGAUACUGGCGACCUGCAACAGGACGGAAAGACCCCAUGGAGCUUUACUGCAGCUUAAUAUUGGGAUUCGGUAUUGCAUGUACAGGAUAGGUGGGAGGCUGAGAAAUAUGUACGCUAGUAUGUAUGGAGCCGACGUUGGGAUACCACUCUUGUAAUACUGGGUUUCUAACCAGUAGCCGUGACCCGGUUAUGGGACAUUGUUAGGCGGGCAGUUUGACUGGGGCGGUCGCCUCCGAAAGAGUAACGGAGGCGCUCAAAGGUAACCUCAGAAUGAUUGGAAACCAUUCAAAGAGUGUAAAGGCAGAAGGUUGCUUAACUGCGAGGUGGACACACCGAGCAGAUACGAAAGUAGGACUUAGUGAUCUGGUGGUAACAAGUGGGAGUGCCAUCACUUAACGGAUAAAAGCUACCCUGGGGAUAACAGGCUUAUCUCCCCCAAGAGUUCACAUCGACGGGGAGGUUUGGCACCUCGAUGUCGGCUCAUCGCAUCCUGGGGCUGAAGAAGGUCCCAAGGGUUGGGCUGUUCGCCCAUUAAAGCGGUACGCGAGCUGGGUUCAGAACGUCGUGAGACAGUUCGGUCCCUAUCCGUUGCAGGCGGAGGAUUUUUGAGAGGAGCUGCCCUUAGUACGAGAGGACCGGGGUGGACGAACCGCUGGUGUAUCUGUUGGAAACCAAUUCCACGGCAGAGUAGCCAAGUUCGGAACGGAUAAACGCUGAAGGCAUCUAAGCGUGAAGCCGCCCUCAAGAUAAGAAAUCCCACAGCAAAAGCUGGUAAGGCCCCUUGAAGACUACAAGGUAGAUAGGCUGGAGGUGUAAGCACGGUAACGUGUUCAGCUGACCAGUACUAAUAGGCCGAGGGCUUGUCCUA
rnacentral:rRNA from 1 species